UUUCCAGAGAUGGAUUGGUGCCUUCGGGAACUGUGAGACAGGUGCUGCAUGGCUGUCGUCAGCUCGUGUUGUGAAAUGUUGGGUUAAGUCCCGCAACGAGCGCAACCCUUAUCCUUUGUUGCCAGCGGUUAGGCCGGGAACUCAAAGGAGACUGCCAGUGAUAAACUGGAGGAAGGUGGGGAUGACGUCAAGUCAUCAUGGCCCUUACGACCAGGGCUACACACGUGCUACAAUGGCGCAUACAAAGAGAAGCGACCUCGCGAGAGCAAGCGGACCUCAUAAAGUGCGUCGUAGUCCGGAUUGGAGUCUGCAACUCGACUCCAUGAAGUCGGAAUCGCUAGUAAUCGUGGGUCAGAAUGCCACGGUGAAUACGUUCCCGGGCCUUGUACACACCGCCCGUCACACCAUGGGAGUGGGUUGCAAAAGAAGUAGGUAGCUUAACCUUCGGGAGGGCGCUUACCACUUUGUGAUUCAUGACUGGGGUGAAGUCGUAACAAGGUAACCGUAGGGGAACCUGCGGUUGGAUCACCUCCUUA
rnacentral:rRNA from 2 species